UACGAAGGGGGCUAGCGUUGCUCGGAGUCACUGGGCGUAAAGCGCACGUAGGCGGAUCUUUAAGUCAGGGGUGAAAUCCCGGAGCUCAACUCCGGAACUGCCUUUGAUACUGAGGGUCUCGAGUUCGGGAGAGGUGAGUGGAACUGCGAGUGUAGAGGUGAAAUUCGUAGAUAUUCGCAAGAACACCAGUGGCGAAGGCGGCUCACUGGCCCGAUACUGACGCUGAUGCACGAAAGCGUGGGGAGCAAACAGG
rnacentral:rRNA from 1 species